rnacentral:tRNA from 1 species
AAGGGAGACCUAAUUCAGGUAGGAGACGAAAAAGAAGUAGUCGCUACCAAGAAUCAAUCCCAAAAGGUCGGAGCGAGGCGAAAUUGGCUUUCAAACUAGGUUCUGGGUUCACACAAGACCUGAAUCAGGAACAAGGGCUAUUAGCUCAGGUGGUUAGAGCGCACCCCUGAUAAGGGUGAGGUCCCUGGUUCGAGUCCAGGAUGGCCCACCUGCACAGGUGGCAAAAACAAGAGAAGCGAGGAAUCAGCACCUUAUCUUAUCUAUAUAUAUAUAGGAGAGAAUGCUGGCUCUGAGUAAAGAGUCCAGAGGAACCUUGAAAACUGCAUAGAGCUAGGUGAAAAAGCCAAAAAAGAAGACCGCAAGGUCAAGCUAAUAAGGGCUAACGGUGGAUACCUAGGCAC